UAACAAGGAUUCCCCUAGUAACUGCGAGUGAACCGGGAUGAGCUCAAAUUUAAAAUCUGACGGUUCUGCCGUCCGAGUUGUAAUCUGGAGAAGCGUUUUCCGCGUCGGACCGUGUACAAGUCUCUUGGAAUAGUGCGUCAUAAAGGGUGAGAAUCCCGUCCAUGACACGGACUCCCGAUGCUAUGUGAUACGCUCUCAAAGAGUCGAGUUGUUUGGGAAUGCAGCUCAAAAUGGGUGGUAAAUUCCAUCUAAAGCUAAAUAUUGGCGAGAGACCGAUAGCGAACAAGUACCGUGAGGGAAAGAUGAAAAGCACUUUGGAAAGAGAGUUAAACAGUACGUGAAAUUGUUGAAAGGGAAACGCUUGAAGUCAGUCGCGUCGUACGGAGCUCAGCCUUGCUUCUGCUUGGUGUAUUCUCUGUGUCGACGGGUCAACGUCAAUUUCGGCCGGUGGAGAAGGGCUCAAGGAAUGUGGCGUCGUUUCGGCGACGUGUUAUAGCCUUGGGUCGUAUGCACCGACUGGGAUUGAGGACCGCAGCACGCCCUUGUGGCCGGGGGUUCGCCCUACGUUUCGUGCUUAGGAUGUUGGCAAAAUGGCUUUAAGCGACCCGUCUUGAAACACGGACCAAGGAGUCUAACAUGCCUGCGAGUGUUCGGGUGGAAAACCCUUGCGCGUAAUGAAAGUGAAAGUUGGGAUCCCUCGCAAGGGGGUGCACCGACGCCCGGCCCUGAAGUUCUCUGACGGUGCUGCGGUAGAGCAUGUAUGUUGGGACCCGAAAGAUGGUGAACUAUGCCUGAAUAGGGUGAAGCCAGAGGAAACUCUGGUGGAGGCUCGUAGCGAUUCUGACGUGCAAAUCGAUCGUCAAAUUUGGG
rnacentral:rRNA from 1 species